AACGAACGCUGGCGGCAGGCUUAACACAUGCAAGUCGAACGCAUCCUUCGGGGUGAGUGGCAGACGGGUGAGUAACGCGUGGGAACGUGCCCUUCAGUUCGGGAUAACCCAGGGAAACUUGGGCUAAUACCGGAUACGUGCGAGAGCAGAAAGAUUUAUCGCUGAAGGAUCGGCCCGCGUCUGAUUAGCUAGUUGGUGGGGUAAUGGCCCACCAAGGCGACGAUCAGUAGCUGGUCUGAGGGGAUGAUCAGCCACAUUGGGACUGAGGCACGGCCCAAACUCCUACGGGAGGCAGCAGUGGGGAAUAUUGGACAAUGGGCGCAAGCCUGAUCAAGCCAUGCCGCGUGAGUGAUGAAGGCCUUAGGGUUGUAAAGCUCUUUCGUCCGGGACGAUAAUGACGGUACCGGAAGAAGAAGCCCCGGCUAACUUCGUGCCAGCCGCCGCCGUAA
rnacentral:rRNA from 1 species